GGCGAUCUGGCAGAGUGGUCUAAUGCGAUUGACUUGAAUCCAACGUCACAUCAUCCGGUGUCCACUUACAAUCUCUCGUUCAACUAUCAAUUUCCCCCUGGGAGCACAGGUUCGAAUCCUGUGAUCGUCG